UUACAGUGAAUUCCAUCUACAGCUUUGAUAAACAUGCCACCCGUAUCUUCAUGAAAAUCACUGAAAAAAUGAGAACUAGACAGAUCUGAGUACAGUCAGUCUCUUCGAGCAUACCAACCACCACCUCCCAUGACGGGUUAUAAUCAGGACCCAUGAGGCAUCAUGGUCAGGCAACAGGGGAGAACAACACCUGUGUUCAAGUUGGCAGAUAAAGUGACUGCAUUCAAAGCCAAACUGGAAUUAUGGGUGCCCCGGGGUUUAAUUCCUCUGCGUCACGGGGCUCGAACUCACUGUUAACAGCUCGGUACUCUCAAACAAGUGCUUCACCCUAGACUUCAGGCAAAGAUAUGACCACAAGCAUUUGACAUGAAAAAGAGAAGCUCAAAUGAUUCAAAUGGUAAAGCUGGAGCAGAGCCAAAAUGAACAAGAAAAGAAGGAAGGCACCUCUGAGGCUGCUACAUGGAGGAAGGAAACACCAGAGGAAAAGAUUUGCUUCAUGAAGAAAUGGCCUCACACUGAUGAUAAUCUGGAAAUUAAGCCAUCAGCCAGAUUAAUAGAAGCCUGGAGGUUCUCUGACGAGCUUGUGGAAUAACAAAGCCAG